CGCCCUCUCCCUCCGUUCCGAAUUACUUGUCGCAGGUAUGGAUGUAUCUAGAUGUAUUUUAGUUCUAGAUACAUCCAUUUCUUCGACAAGUAAUUUGGAACGGAGGGAGUAGUUG
rnacentral:pre_miRNA from 1 species